rnacentral:rRNA from 1 species
CAGCCGCCACGGUAAUACGAAGGGUGCAAGCGUUACUCGGAAUUACUGGGCGUAAGGCGUGCGUAGGUGGUGGUUUAAGUCCGUUGUGAAAGCCCUGGGCUCAACCUGGGAAUUGCAGUGGAUACUAGGUCACUAGAGUGUGGUAGAGGAUAGUGGAAUUUCCGGUGUAGCAGUGAAAUGCGUAGAGAUCGGAAGGAACAUCUGUGGCGAAGGCGACUAUCUGGGCCAACACUGACACUGAGGCACGAAAGCGUGGGGAGCAAACAGGAUUAGAUACCCCUGUAGUCCCUGUCUCUUAUAC